CAUAGAGGAACUUCUACUAAAACCGUCCACGUCCUGUGGACAACGUAGAAGUCAGCACAACACGCGCA
rfam:Virgibacillus necropolis strain LMG 19488 chromosome, complete genome.